rnacentral:rRNA from 1 species
UACGAAGGGGGCUAGCGUUGCUCGGAAUCACUGGGCGUAAAGCGCACGUAGGCGGCUUGUUAAGUCAGGGGUGAAAUCCUGGAGCUCAACUCCAGAACUGCCUUUGAUACUGGUGAGCUUGAGUCCGGAAGGGGUGAGUGGAACUGCGAGUGUAGAGGUGAAAUUCGUAGAUAUUCGCAAGAACACCAGUGGCGAAGGCGGCUCACUGGCCCGAUACUGACGCUGAGGCACGAAAGCGUGGGGAGCAAACAGGG